UGUGUUUCUUUGGUAAUUACAUCCUAGUAAUAACCUGAAUUAUGUCGCAACUGUCAGAAUGGGGGUUUCCAACAUUGCAGUUUUCAUUAACCCUCUUUUGUUGCCAAAGAAACCAGACUGUGACAUCACCUUUUCGUCCCAGGCCUGCAGCAGUGAGGGCCAAACUGGGCUUCUAGGAGAGAGUGUUGGGCUUUGGACCAAAGAAGGAAGCAGGCAGGCAGGCAGGCAGGCAGGCAGGAGGAGGGAGACAGGGAGAAACCUCCCACAGACUGUUGUUCAGAGAGCGCGUACGCUCAGAGUAUGGCUACAAGGGUGAAUAUACCCUGCUUGGAUUUAGCAACUCUCGGCUGCCUACAGCACGUGUGUACAGGUCCCAAACCCUGUGUCUCGGCUCGGGUCUGCCCGUGGGAGGCCAUAAGCGUGUCUACACUCCUGAAGCUGUUCGGGGAACGCCUGGGGUGCAACAGUCCUCAUGCAUGGGAAGAGCCCGAGGCGUCCUCCAUGCCCCGUUAGCUUUGCGGAAGCAAGUCAGUUUGUCCUGUGAAGAUAUUUUUUCUUCCUCUUUCUUUGGUAAAGCAGAGCAGGGUUCCCCAUGGCCCAUUUCAUUCAUUCUGGGGUCUUGAGAGUAUCCCCAAAUAUUUCUUCUAAGAGGCAAUAUCCCUACGGUUACACCCCACCACACACACAGUUAGCCAGGGCCAAGCUUCCACUAGGCUUAACUCGGCCACAACUUGAUCAGUUAUUGAGAAAGUAAAAAAUCCAACUUUUUACAAUGUGAAGUUUCCCUGAAUAAUGUGCAGUCAUGUUAGAAAGAAAUCAAAACUUUCUCUCUUCAAAUUAUGGUGCUAUGAAGACAGUUUAAAACCAAAGCUUUGUGCUUACUGAGCAAGAAGGACUCUGCCCCUUAGUUCACUCAAUUAUUGAGUUUUGUUUUUGUUUUGUUUUGUUUGCUUUAUGAGGGAAAAGGGAGGUUUAGUAGAUUUUCAUUUUGAUCACUUUCAUAUAAGCUGAUUUUAUUAAAGGGGGAGAGAGAGAGAAGAAGAGGAAGAGGAAAACAGAAAUUAAGUCUUGAUGGAUGAUUUAAUUUGGCCUGCAUGUCUGUCCUAGCCAGAGCGGUUCCGAGUGCCGCCUCACAGUCAAUCACAUACCACAUUCGGUUCCACAGAACCUCGAAUGGACUCGGACACUGACUUCACUCCAAAAUACUUACUUGGAUUUUCUACAAAGGGACACCUACGUCUUUUAAUUAAAAGGUGCAUAAGUAGUAACAGAAUUUUCUUUGUCAUUUCGGCAAAGUUCAUUAUACUUCUCAGAAGUCUGAACCCUCAGGUUUUACCACUGAAAAGAAUCAGAACCUUUGCGCGACGGUUGUGGGUCACGCUCAGCCUCCGACUUAGCUUGGGGUUUGAGGAGUGCCCCCUGCGGCCCCGGUCAUCCGAUUGCCCUGUACUCUGGGCUUCCUCCUGGAUUGUUCAGGUGGAAAUGUUUCUCAAGGCUUGCGGCUUGGAAGGAGCACUCCGGAGGCCCUCACUGCAGGGCCAGGGCCUGACCUCAGGAGGGCACCCACGCAGGGACUUCCCAUUGGCCUCAAAGCUCAAAUUCCAGGAUGGUGGGGAAUGGAGGCGGCUCUCCACUACGUCCCCAGCACGCAGUGCAGCGCCGUCCUACGCACUGCUGGAGAUCAAACCUAAGACUCGAGACCACCAGGCCAGGGCUCUACCCGAGCAGCACCUUCUAAGCCCCCUCCCCACCCGUACACAGGUUCUUCUAUUACCUAACUUUCCUCUUUUUCUUCUACAAACCUCAUUCAUGUGUGUGAAACAAACCCUUGAGUGACAAGAAACUUCUAGAAUAGAAAACAGCAACCUUCGCCAAACCUCUACCUGUGCUCCAAAUGGCCCCAGGAAAGACUUCAAAUGAAGUACUGAGCACUGAAAUUUCAACUGAUUUUUAAAAGCUGCUUCUUGGUUCAAUUUCUACAGCGACUCUGUCCGUGUGGGUGUGGAGGGGGUGGCCAGGGGCGGGAGAUACAAUAGGGCUCACCAAAGGGCUUACUUUGUUUGGUACCAGGGAUCGAACUCAUGACCUCAUGCUUGCCAGGCAGGUGCUUGUGCUGCUGAGCUAAAUCCCCAGCCCUGACCCUAUGGUUUUAAAAACUGAAGUUAAAAAACAGACUUCGGGGAUCUGACUGGAGGGUGAAGUCGCUGACCACCUGAGGCUCAGCCUCCCUUUCUCUGGGGGAGGGUUUCCAGGACGGAGCCCUUAGCUAGAAGCAAGCACAGCAAACUUGAAUCACAAUGCUGAUGAUGUACCCUGAAAGUUUUCAUUUUUUAAAAGAAAAGGCAGCAGGUUUGUUGAGUAACAAUCAACUGACUAAUAAAUUCCUCUAACACACAGCCUUCUUCAAAUACAGAUCACAUCUGCAAGAGGCCUACACAAGCUGGACACUGAACUCAGGCACCUAGUGUGGAGAAGAAGAAGGCUGUGUAUAACAGCUGUGUAUAACAACAAAUACAACUCAAACUGGCCUUCCAGAAAUAAAGGGCACACGCUGGUAAGGAAUCCAGAGACUUUUAGGUGAGGAUGACUCAGCAGCUCAGCCGGACCUGGUCUGAAUCAUUCUAAGCCUGUUUUUCCUCAUGGUCACAAUGAGGCUGCCAGGUGCUGUCAGGCCCCAUAUCCUUGUUCCUGUUCCAGUGGAAACCUCUCUUGGUAGCUUCCAAAAAAGAGAAAGGAUCAUCUUUCCGAGAACCUCUUGUCCGCCACCCUCAUGACGGACACCAGACGGACUAAGUGACUUCAACCACUCUGGUGCUGGCGCUGCACGGGGAGUCAGGCCACUUGAGAGAGCACUGUGGGCUCCCACUUAGCAAAAGGGGAGAAGUCCAGAAGGAGCCCCAGCAACAGGAGGUGAUGGAGGAGACACCAUGUCUGUGUCCCUGCCCUCAGGAGAGACCACAGAAAGUGCUAAAGGCUCCGUGUGACUGAGUCGCUCUGGCAACUGCAGAAGAGCCGGCUUUGCACCCUGGGGCGAUGCAGGGGGCACCCAGAGAGCGACCACUCCUGGGUCGCCCUGCUGGCUGCCCCGAGGAGCUGGGGACCGCAAUCCGGCCAGGCCUGGAGGCAGGGCAAGGCUUGAGGGAUUGAGGGAGCCGGUGAGCAGGGGGCCCGGUGGAGGGCGGCUGGAGAGCCUGCCUUAGGCAGGGACAGGACCGGGCAGUGAGCAGAUGGGGCUCACGUACUAGCUGGGAAAGAUGGCACCCAGCAGGUCGUCCCCAAAGUGAAGCUCACUGGUGACAAUUUGUAGAAAGCUUCCAAUGAACAAUUUAAAGGCCUUACUAAGUUUGAGCCUCUGGCGUGAGAGACCAAAACCAGCAACGAGAUCAAAAAGGAAUUUGGAGAAAGCAGACAAGAUUCAGAGAGGGAAAUACGUUUUUAAAAAGCAUGACUAAUAUCCUGGAAGGCAUACAAUAUUGCACUAACAGCACGAGCACGGCUAUCUUUCAGAAGGAUAUAAACCAAUAAAAGCAAACCCUUUGGAUUAGAACUACGGGAAGCAGGGGGUGGUGGCACACGCCUGGCACUUGGAAGGCUGAGGCAGGAGGCUCAGCAUGAGCAUCACUGUGAGUCCAGGGCCAGCCUGCACCAACUAGUGAGACCCUGAAGCCACACUGACUUACGAACUGAUACGACUCCACCCAACGCACCCCAUCGUCCAGACCUGAAAUCUGAUUUCCAAAUACCAGAUCUCCGACCACAUCAAAAGACCUCAGAACUUUUCACCCUAGUGUCACCAAUGAUAUGAGCAUCCUCCGGGCUCUGGACUUUGGAGGUCAGAAGCACUUGACAAACGUCUGUUGUUGCUGGUGUUGUCAUUUUUGUUUUAAAUGAGCAUCUGUUUGAAAAAUGAUAUGAAUGGCAUAGAACACUUUUCAAACAUUUCUAACAUCAAGAGGUCCUGAGCAGAGAGCUCACUCUGCGCUCACUGAGUCACACAGGACUGAAGGACUCUGCUGGGAAUGUCCAAACUUACUCCAGGGCCUUUUAGAAGGUCAUCGAGCCAAAGUUUAAAGACAAACCUAGGACUGGCUAACUUAGAGCAGACUAUUCUGCAGCAAACCUACAAUUUCAGCGCCAUUUGACCCCCAGAUAUCCAAAAGUGCAGAGAAAUGCAAGCGUGCACGUGCACACACACACACAUGCACACACGUGUGCUUUUUUAUCACUUUUGUCAAGCUGCCUGCCUCACCCCACUGGGGACCCGGGUGCUGUGCUCACCUGCAGGCCCUACUUGGGGGACUAUCGAGGCACAGGCAGCGUGGGGGAGAAGGAGACUGAACACGUUCCAGACCCCGAGGUGCAGAACCCCGAAAAGGACUUGGGCACACUCCACUGUUCCCAGGAACCAGAAGGCGGGAGGCUCGGGCCUGGACUGCAGGAAUGUCCCUGAGUGAGCCCAGGACGCACACCCUCCCGCUGCACCCGAGAGAGAAAGCCAGAAACUAAAACAAAACAAUGGGAAAGCUUUUUUAAUGAAGGAAAAUGAAAUGAUGGCUCGGUGAACUCUGCAUCGGAAAGCAGUGAAUGUGUUUGUAAACCAAAGCAAGAUGUUGAAACCGUAGAAAGAGGAGGAUUUCAAAACAACACAGAAACCUUGACAUAAGGGGGCCGGGGAUUUAGCUCAGCGGCAGAAGCACCUGCCUUGCAAGCAGGCGGUCGUGAGUUCGAUCCCCGGUACCGAUAAAAAAGAUUAAAAAAAAAAAAAAGAAACCUUGACAUAAAGCGGUUCAGUGGUGG